CCUACGGGAGGCAGCAGUGAGGAAUAUUGGUCAAUGGGCGCGAGCCUGAACCAGCCAAGUAGCGUGAAGGAUGACUGCCCUACGGGUUGUAAACUUCUUUUAUAAAGGAAUAAAGUGAGGCACGUGUGCCUUUUGUAUGUACUUUAUGAAUAAGGAUCGGCUAACUCCGUGCCAGCAGCCGCGGUAAUACGGAGGAUCCGAGCGUUAUCCGGAUUUAUUGGGUUUAAAGGGUGCGUAGGCGGUCCGUUAAGUCAGCGGUAAAAUUGCGGGGCUCAACCCCGUCGAGCCGUUGAAACUGGCAGACUUGAGUUGGCGAGAAGUACGCGGAAUGCGCGGUGUAGCGGUGAAAUGCAUAGAUAUCGCGCAGAACUCCGAUUGCGAAGGCAGCGUACCGGCGCCAGACUGACGCUGAGGCACGAAAGCGUGGGGAUCGAACAGGAUUAGAUACCCGGGUAGUC
rnacentral:rRNA from 1 species